rnacentral:misc_RNA from 1 species
AACGCACAUUGCGCCCCGUGGUAUUCCGCGGGGCAUGCCUGUUCGAGCGUCAUUUCAACCCUCAAGCUCUGCUUGGUAUCGGGCCUCACCUCUUUUGGUCGGCCUUAGAAACAGUGGCGGUGCUGCCUGGCACUAAGCGUAGUAAUUAUUCUCGCUAUAGUAGUUAGGUAGUGUUCGGCUAAAGCCUAUAUUUUUAAUUUGACCUCGGAUCAGGUAGGGAUACCCGCUGAACUUAA